rnacentral:tmRNA from 1 species
AGGCUUGCGAAAGCGGUCGGCUAUCCCUAUAUCUCUUGGUGCCGGGCAACCGGCUAUGGCGAUAAACACCGUAUGGAAUAAACGUUACGGACCCGGGGGCGGUACCCGGCGCCUCCACCAAGAGCCCAUGACCCAGGUGUGGACCAGGGACGUUCUCGUGGGUUGUUGCUGGGGGCGAAUCAGGCUCGACGUGCGUGGUAAAGAUACGACUUUCGCUCGGCAUGGUUCCGCCGUCAUCGGGCCAUAUCACAAGUGCCAAUGAUAACACUGAGGCGCUCGCUGUCGCUGCAUAAGCGAUAAGCGCGGUUCGGGGGGCACCGGGCAACAGAAGCCCCCCACU